rnacentral:misc_RNA from 1 species
AUCCACCAGCAUAAAAUUCAUCUUUAAAAGAGUUCAAAUUCACAACUAAUGUGCAAACUUCAUUCAUGCAUAGACAAUUAACUGAUACAACCCCUUUCUGUCAGGAAAAACAUUAGGCAAUCAGGACAAGAUAUUGAUUGUAUUGGCAAGAAACAAAAUAACAAACACAACUUUCACGGUUCUGAAGAUCCUGCACUGCUGAGUUAUUACUAGUACAGCCCAUAUAAGAAAAGAGCACACAUCAUGAACAUUAGCAUGUAAGAUGGACCGAUCCCUUAAAAUCAAAUACAUUGAAUUUUCAUAUACAUUUGCCCAUAAGUCAAAAGAAUCAGCUACUUGACCAGAUAUAGCCCACACAGAUCUCCACUGCCCAAUGCCCAUGAUUCAGGAUACAAUGAUGAAAACUUCUGAAAAUAAUAAGUUUAAAAACAUUACACUGUCUAAAGAAGAAAACAAAUCUGACAGCCUUUUGUAACUUCUUCCUUCAAAAUACUUUACCAAUUGAAAUAACGUAUAGAAAUCUUUAGCAUGCAGGUGAAUGGUGAUUCCUGAUUACAAUUACCUAGCAUUUGAAAUUGGAUGGAGGAAUUUGAAAUGUGAAAUUCAAAUUUGAUGAUUCAUAAAUUUUCUUUUAUUGAUUAGUGUCAUAAAUUUAGAUUAAGUUCAUAAAUAUGGAACCAAUCAUAUUUGAGAGUAAGUUCAAAAUGUCCUUUGAAAAGGAAUCAUUUGCAAUCCAUGUCAAAUGAAUUCUCAACCACAUCCAUUAAUCUAACUUAGUAAACAACGAGUCAACUCAUUGAAAUAAUUUAAACUUAAAUUAAAGUUAUGAAACUCAAAUAUCUUAUUUCAAAUCAUUGCGUCCAAACAUAUAUAGCAUAAUGUAACUUUUGACUGAUUUCACUUGCAAGGAGACAACAGUUUAAAGAUGACUAUUAUGUCCCAGUAGAGAGUGAAAUAUGUCUAAUAACAUAUUAGUCAUAUUUGUUCACUAAUGUAUCCACAAUUUGUUAGUUAUAUUUCACGGACCUUAUGAGCAGUUCCUAGAGUUAUUUUUGAUCUUCCACUCAUCAGAGAUCACAAGGAGGGAGUAUAAUGCUUUUACCUUCACUAGAGGAAGCAAUGUUUGAAACACUAUUAUCUGCCUCCGAACCAUUCGCACUGCCAUUAUCCAAUUCAACAU